rnacentral:rRNA from 1 species
UACGUAGGGCGCGAGCGUUGUCCGGAAUUAUUGGGCGUAAAGAGCUCGUAGGCGGCCUGUUGCGUCCGCUGUGAAAUCCCAGGGCUCAACCCUGGGCGUGCAGUGGAUACGGGCAGGCUGGAGGCAGGCAGGGGAGAACGGAAUUCCCGGUGUAGCGGUGAAAUGCGCAGAUAUCGGGAGGAACACCCGUGGCGAAGGCGGCUCCCUGGUCCGUCCCUGACGCUGAGACGCGAAAGCGCGGGGAGCGAACGGG